rnacentral:misc_RNA from 1 species
UUUUUUUUUUUUUUUUUUGAACAUUUAAGAAGGCAGCAAAUCAUAGCAUCAUUUCUGUAACUUCAUUAUUCAAUACCAUUCAGAUGUGCAACAUCAGCAGUAGCUUAAUUUUUAGUUUUAUUACAUUCUGGCGCUUCAAAUGCCUAGCAAAAUGCAACUGAACAGUUUAUUUUCAGAGGUUCUUCUGAUUAUGUUUUGGUUUUUGCUAAUUUAUAUGUAUCUUGAAAACAUCCUAGCUACUGUUAUUGCCCUUAUACUCAAUUCAAGGAUUAGAUUAUUCUCUUUUUCGUGGUAAAAACAACACUAUUGUUAUCACUUAUCAAUGUGAACUGCUAUAUUUGUAGCUGUUUAGAUUGUUAAACUUGUUUUAUUCUUCCAGCUUGCAUCUGGCGAGGUUUUUGGG